rnacentral:rRNA from 1 species
AUGGCGUCGCGGCAGUCGCUGCUCCCGAGCUUCCUCUACGCGGCGUCCAGCGGCGCCGCCAUGCCGGACGGGAGGGGCGCGCCCGUCGUCGCCAGGGCGCCGAGCGAGCCGCCGUUCGGGAAGAUCGACAUGUUCUCGCCGGCGUACUACGCGGCCUGCGGCUUCGGCGGCGCCGCCGCGUGCGGGCUCACGCACGCCGCCGUGACGCCGCUCGAUGUCAUCAAGUGCAACAUCCAGAUCGACCCGGCCAAGUACAAGAGCAUCUCCUCGUCGUUCAGCAUCGUGCUCAAGGAGCAGGGCGUCCGAGGCUUCUUCCGGGGCUGGGCGCCCACGUUCCUGGGGUACAGCGCGCAGGGCGCGUUCAAGUACGGCCUGUACGAGGUGUUCAAGAAGGAGUACACCGACAUGGCCGGCCCGGAGUACGCCGCCAAGUACAAGACCCUCAUCUACCUCGCCGGCUCGGCCACCGCCGAGGUCGUCGCCGACGUCGCGCUCUGCCCCAUGGAGGCCGUCAAGGUGCGGGUGCAGACGCAGCCCGGCUACGCCAGGGGCCUGCGCGACGGAUUCCCCAAGAUCGUCAGGGCCGAAGGCUAUGCAGGGCUGUUCAGAGGAAUGGUUCCUCUUUGGGGGCGACAGAUUCCUUACACCAUGAUGAAGUUCGCAACCUACGAGAACAUCGUGGAGAUGGCGUACAGGCACCUCAUCCCCACCCCCAAGGAGCAGUGCAGCAAGCCUCUGCAGCUCGGGGUGAGCUUCGGGAGCGGCUACAUCGCCGGAGUCUUCUGCGCCGCCAUCUCGCACCCCGCCGACAACCUGGUCUCCUUCCUCAACAAUGCCAAGGGCGCCACCGUCGGAGACGCUGUCAAGAACCUCGGCCUCUGGGGACUCUUCACGCGGGGCCUUCCGCUCCGCAUCGUCAUGAUCGGCACACUGACCGGCACCCAGUGGGUGAUCUAUGAUUCCUUCAAAGUCAUGGCUGGACUGCCAACAACCGGUGGGGCUCCUGCUGCUGCCCCAAGGGAAGAAGCCUAA